rnacentral:rRNA from 1 species
UGAAGCGGCAACAGCUCAAUUUGAAAUCUGGCCCUCGUGGUCCGAAUUGUAAUUUGUAGAGGAUGCUUUGGGUGCGGUGCCUUCCGAGUUCCCUGGAACGGGACGCCAGAGAGGGUGAGAGCCCCGUACGGUUGGCCACCUAGCCUCUAUAUAGCUCCUUCGACGAGUCGGGUAGUUUGGGAAUGCUGCUCUAAAUGGGAGGUAAAUUUCUUCUAAAGCUAAAUACCGGCCAGAGACCGAUAGCGCACAAGUAGAGUGAUCGAAAGAUGAAAAGCACUUUGAAAAGAGGGUUAAAUAGCACGUGAAAUUGUUGAAAGGGAAGCGUUUACGACCAGACCUUCUCCAGGCGGAUCAUCCGGUGUUCUCACCGGUGCACUUCGUCUGGUGUAGGCCAGCAUCGGUUUUCGUAAGGGGAUAAAGGCCUGGGGAACGUAUCUCCUUCGGGAGUGUUAUAGCCCCUCGCGUAAUACCCUUACGGGGACCGAGGACCGCGCUCUACGCAAGGAUGCUGGCGUAAUGGUCGUCAACGACCCGUCUUGAAACACGGACCAAGGAGUCGAACAUUUGUGCGA